UCCAAAGUAGGCUCCAGGCUCUGGGCUGCCAGAACAGAGCCCGACACGGGGCUCGAACCAACAGCAGGAUCAUGACCUGAGUCGAAGUUGGAAGCUUAACUGACUGAGCCAUCUGAAAUUGGCACCCCGAGAUCAGAUCAACAGCUUCCUAAACCAACCAAGGAUUGGGUUAAAUUAAACUUUAUAAGGUUGUAUUUAUGAAAAAAUGAUGUAUUAAGACAAAUUUUAAAUGUCUUGUACUUGACUGAAUUCUUCCUGCUUUUAAUGGGUUAAUAUUUUUCCCCAUUAAAAAAAAUGGUCUAAAAUAUAAUUUGUGGAGAUAAUAAUUAAGGCCACAGUAGUGUUUUAGAAUCAGUAAAGAAAAAUAGUUCUUAGUAAAGUUGCUCAAUAAGCCUAUAUUCUGGAAUCCCAAUACUCUGUUCUAGAACCUGUGUGUGGCCAUGGUCUAGAGCCAUCCGUGGGAGAUGUGCCUCAGGAACCUCCAGACACAUAAAUGCAGACCCUCAAGAGCAAUCUAUGCCUCCACCUCUAUCCCUAGGGAUAACCUUAUUUACAAAGUUUAAAAGUGGACAGUUGGGAACUGGAGCUGUGGUAAAGUUGCACACCAAGCAGCAUGGCUUCCCUCGGUAACACAGUCCGUCUCAACAACCACCAAAGACAGGAAACGAGGCAAGAUGACCUGAGAUUACUUGAGUGGUACUGGUAUGUGGCGUUCCACUCCGGAGAGGGCUCUCCUGGUGGACUAGGGCUUCAUGGAGAGCUCCGACGUGGAGGAGACUGGAGCAGAGCCUUGGGAGGAAGAGCAGGGACAUCUGGCCAGCACUGGCAGGUAGGAAACUAUAUAGUCAUGGAAGGAGAACCAUGGUGGUGUUUUAGAAGGAAAGUGAGUGGAUCAGGAGGCAGAGCCAGAUGGUGCAUGUAGAAAGUUAAUGGCUGGAAAGAAAGGUUGGAGUCAUAUUAUAAAGGAAGAAGGGAAAAAGACUAUUCUGAGUUCUCAUCUAUUGUCUGAUUUAAUCUUCACAAUAGCUCCAUAAUGGAGGCUGUGGAUUAGCCAGGGAAUGCUUAGCUAGAAAAACAAUGCAGUCUGGGUUAGCUUAAACCAAAAAGGAAAAUGCAUCACAAGACCCCAAGGGUUAAAGUGUAGUCAAUUUAAAUUGGUAUCUACCCACUGUCCAGUCACCUGUGAUCAAGGGUGGGGGAGGGGGACCGAAUUCUACACAAAUACGGCUACUAGGGAUGCCAUGUGAGUGGACACUGUAUUGAAUAGAAAACAGAAUAUAUAUCAUAAUCCUUAGAGGAAUUGUGAAAAUGUAAUGCAAAAAACUGUAACUUAGAAUUAUGUAAAAAAAUUAAAAUUGGAAGGGUAAAGACUAGAUAUAUAGAUAAAACAUGCUUGGUCAUAAGAAUUGUUGAGACCAAGUGAUGUGUACAUGGGAUUCAUUAUUCUGCAUAUCUUUGUAAAUGUUUAAAAUUCUCCUUAAUAAAAAGUUAAAAAAAUACAUAGUUCACACAGGGUCCCUUGGUCCUUCUGUUCCAAUCAUUGUACAUGCUUUACUAGAUUAAAAACAGACUUGAAGUUCUUUCCCAUGCAAGGAAGACACAACCACCUAGACUCAUUAAGUAGAAAGUUUCAGACUCGGUAAGCAUUAUUGUCAGAAUUCCAGCGGACUACAAGUCCUGAUGUAUUUCCUUGCAAUUUUGAUUUAGUGGGUCUGGAAAGGGAUUUGAGUGUCUUCUCUCCUAGUGACUCCUUCCAACUCCAGUGACACUGAUGCAUGUUCAAGUUUGGGGAGCACAGCGUCAAGGGAUUCUAUGGAUUAUUAUAUGCAAGUCAUAAUAUCCUUGGUUUGGGUCCUUCCCUGCUAUAGGACUCAAGCAGCGUGAUGAUGUGGUACUUUAAGCACAAUCUUAACUACAUCAAUGCAUUAUAUGGCAUUCUGCCAUUCAUUCUCAUUUUGUGAUUCCAGCAUAGUGUCUUUUUCUUGGGCAACUGAUUUAUAGAGCCUACUGCCAUUUUAAUUGCUUUUGUUUCAAAACAUAAAUCUCAUGGAUGAGUUUUUAUCUCUCAUGUAGCACACUCAACUUACAUGUUGUCUGAAGUCUUUCCCCAGGAAUGCUCCUGCCUUCCUUUACCAGGGCAGCAGCACAGAGGGCCCUGCACUCAAUGGGCCACACCCUUGGUUUAAUGCUCUCCUGUUGUCUGAAGUUCUUAAUGUUGUUUCUGAACUUGUGUUUUGUAAGUGAAGUCUCAUGCAGUAUGUGCCCACUGUUCCUCACCAACCCACUCAGAGCCUUCGUGAUCUCUGUAUGCACAAAAUUCCAGCAGACCCGUGAUGCAGGAGUUGAGAUGCAAAGUAAAUAUAAGCAAGUUAUUCCUACAACUAAGUGGGGCCCCGAGAGCCCUAAGAGGCCACACUAUUUAAACCAGACUUUGAUUUGAACGCAAAAAGAAGGUAAUAGCAUGCUAAGCAGCAUGAAUGACCAUGGAACCCUGUCAUAUCCUUUUUUACUCAUGUUACUUUUUUUUAAAGUUUUUAUUGUACUCAUGUCAUUAGCCAUUUACUCACUUCAUUAGCCAUCCACUUAUGCUGAAUAUGAUGACAAGAAAAAACGAAAACAAAAGGCAGCCCAUAGUUCUUUCAGUCCUUCCUUACUCAUUAGUAAGCUGAAAGAAUAAGAAUGUGUACAUACAAAGAAGUGAAUAAUUGAGAUAGGUUUUUUUGGGUUUUUUUUUGUUUGUUUGUUUGUUUUGGCAGUGUUUCCAGUGUUCUGGUAAGGACAAAAUACAUAUACGUACAAUAUGUGCACAUAAACUAUGAAAAGCAAAUUAUCUAAUUUUGGUGAUUCUACACGAGUUCACUGCCCUUCUAGUUGUAGUUUAAAACUGGAAUUGCAUAAUACAAAGACGAAUAAAGUUAAUGCUAAUAAUUUAGAAUUUAAAUUUUUCGUUACUUAGAACAGUAUUAAGUAGAAAAUAAAAAUCCACCAUAACAAGAUGUGAGAGACCAUGGAAGAAAGGGAGGACAUUUCAAUGCCUUUAAUGGUACUAUUUUCCUAAUUUCUGGACAUCUUCUGUGCUGGGUCCUACACAUCAGCUAGCUGCCCGAGUCUUCAUGCUCUCUUUUCCUCACCAGAACCCCCAUCCUCUGCUACAUCCUAAGAGGGCUCCUGCUGAUGUGAAGGGCUCCACUGCCCUCCUGGGUCUUCUGCUGCUUCACCUGUGGAAAGCAGCACGGGGCCAGGCCUGACUUCAAAGUAACUCAGGGGACUCAACAAGCACUAGAGGAAGGGUGCUUGCCACAGGAGAGGAUGACAGGACUUCUCAAUCCCCUUCUGACCCUGACUUGUUUUGGAGUAGCAGCCACAGGCUGGAAUCACUUAUCUGGUGUUAUUGGUUCUCCCUUUGGUUUGAUCAGUUUUGGAAGAAAAAUAUUUCUAAAAGACUAAGACUUCAGCUCUCAUCCUUGACAGCUUGGUCCCUCUUUGUCCCUUUCUGCUACUCCAUGAAUUGUUGGAAGCAGUUAGAAGGCAGAGCAGGUGGAAAGCUCUUGUCAACAGUGGUUUUACCAAAAUUCUUUAUGAAGAGUCCUCUAGACAAUACUUGGGAGUUUUUGUUUUUAAAUGGUUCAAGUACAGCAGAUCACUUCCUCUUAAAAAAAAAAUUAAGAUAAUGUUGACAAACUUUAUAGCAAUCUGAAAAGGGAGCAGAGAAUUACUUAUGAAAAAUAAAAAGAACAUGUACAAUUGUAUCUUCAAGAAUUUUCAUGGACCAUUAUGACCCAUCAAAUUAAGGUAUCCACAUUUCCUAACAAAAAUGAACCAAGAAAGGGCAGCAUGAAAAUAUUCUCACGCAGUGCUGCCCAACAGAACUUUCUGUGAUGAUGGAAAUGUUCCAUUAUCGUGUUGUCUAAUACAGAAUCUACUAGUCACAUGAAUACUCACAACAUGGCUAAUGCAAUUGAGGAACUGAAUUUUUCAUAUAAACAGCCACACGUGGCUAGUGGUUACUAACUGAAGAAUACAGUUCUAAUGUCUCAUGGGUCAAAACCAGCGAUUUCCUCAGGGGCCUUCUCUAAUCACGGCUGAGGGAUGCAGAGGAGUGGGGGUGGGGAGAGGGGAAAGCCCUGAACAGAUUAUUUAGCUACUUAGUAAGUUCUGAAGCUCUCCACAGCUUUUGGAGGCUGGGGGUGAGGAAAGGACUCUGGGGGAGACCUGAGAAUGCCCUUGAACUCCUGGCUAAUGCCAACAGGAGUAAAAGGACUAGGAUUUGGCUCACUUAGACGGCGAAGAGGC